rnacentral:tRNA from 1 species
UCCCUGGUGGCUCAGCGGGUUAAGAAUCUGGCAUUGUCACUGCCGUGGUGCAGGUUUGACUCCUGGCCUGGGAA